AUACGUAGGGUGCGAGCGUUGUCCGGAAUUACUGGGCGUAAAGAGCUCGUAGGUGGUUUGUCGCGUCGUCUGUGAAAUUCCGGGGCUUAACUCCGGGCGUGCAGGCGAUACGGGCAUAACUUGAGUACUGUAGGGGAGACUGGAAUUCCUGGUGUAGCGGUGAAAUGCGCAGAUAUCAGGAGGAACACCGGUGGCGAAGGCGGGUCUCUGGGCAGUACCUGACGCUGAGGAGCGAAAGCAUGGGUAGCGAACAGGAUUAGAUACCCUGGUAGUCCAUGCCGUAAACGGUGGGCGCUAGGUGUAGGGGUCUUCCACGACUUCUGUGCCGUAGCUAACGCAUUAAGCGCCCCGCCUGGGGAGUACGGCCGCAAGGCUAAAACUCAAAUGAAUUGACGGGG
rnacentral:rRNA from 1 species